GAGAUGGAUUGGGCCAGUUCAGACCCUGCUGAGUUCUGUAUCCUGGACAGAGGGGAACAGUGGCUGCAGAGGUUGAGGAAUGGACAAGGAGGAGGACUGGAGAGACUUGAAGGCUUAGAGCUUGGGGUGGGAGAAGUGGCAAGAGGAGGAAGCUCAACUUCUCCCACCACUGUCCUCUGGGCCGAGACUGGCAUGCUUGGCCUCUCCAGGCAUCCAAGAGAUCCGUCAGUCUCUGGGAUGCAGCAAGGCAGCGUAGGGGCUGGAGAAAAGUGCUUUCCUUGGGCAGAUUGCGGGGGGUGGGGUGGGUACAAUAUCAAAUAUAUGCUUCCUUUCUGCCAUUCAUUAUUUAUUUAGGGGCUUGUGAAAAAGAUCCAACCCCCCCCAAAAAACUCCAACUCAAAACCAACAUAGCUUCAGGCGCGCAGCCCGAGGGAACAAGUAUUUUCUUCUGUGCGAGUGUACGAAAUGCCUUGUGAGCACUCCAGGCCCUGCCAGAAAAGGGGGUUCUGGGAUUUUGGGGCUGCUGGGAUGGGACCACCAUUGCCUCCCACCCCUCCAAAGCCUGGUAAAGGCUGGCAUGGUGGGGUCCGGACUCUGCAAGAUUCUGUGCUCUUGCCUCUCAUCUGUUCUCAUAUCAAGUGUGGCCACCCUGGGAGCCAAGAGCUCUCAGGCAGGAUGGUGUCUGGCGCGGUGAGGUUCCCGAAUGGGAGCUGGGAGUUCAGGGGAUUCCGGGGCAACCCUUGCUUCGUGAUAUUUUGUGCCUCACACAUUCUUAUUAGCAUCGUAAUCGCUCCCAAAUACUGAUUCAUUAUUGCACUGUGAGCUGCAGACGGAGGCAAUGGGGUUUAAUAGUUCCAUAUGAGCCAUUCUGGGCUAUUGAGUAAAUAUUGCUCAUUCUGAAAAACUGGGUAAAUUGUUUAGCUAUUGCUGAGCAUGGCACCAGCCAAGCAAGUACUUGGUGUCUGGGCCAGUGGCAGGCAAGGUGGUGGGGAACAGAGGAACAUGUACUUUCUUUUUUUAGGGGGGUGCCAGGGAUCGAACUCGGGUCCUUGCAUUUGCGAGGCAGGCAGUAGAACCACUGAGCUAAAUCCCUGGCCCGCCCGGAACAUGCACUUUCUGAGAAAUGGCUGUUUGCAUUGGCUGGCCUUGGGCACAGCCUCUGGAUGUGGAGAUUGGAAUUAGGAAAGGGGAAUCAUUCCAAAGUCAGGGUAGAAGGAGCCUCCUGUUUGUAGGCAUAGGAGGCGGGCAGGAAAGACCCUGAGCCUUCUAGCCUGUGUAGACGUGUGACUAGAUCCUGAACGCGAAGGCUGGUUGCUGGUGGUAGCAAGAGGAUGCAUGGAAGGUGGAAAGGCUGCAGGUGAGAGAGUUUGACUUGGGGGUCCCUGUCUGGCACUUGCUAAUUGUGCGACCCGAGGCAAAUUCUUUGAUGCCUGUGUGGCAUCAGUUUUCUCAUCUGUAAAGUGGGCUGAUGAAAGAACUUCUUGUAGGACCCACGUGGGAUUUAAACAAGCAAACCCUUAGGAUGUGUUUAUGAAUGUAAUUCUGUUACAGAAUAAACAGAAGGCUUGCAUUGGGGUCUGGAUAGCUUUGGUUCUUUGACUUUGAGAACCAGAUGAAAGUUGCCAAUCCUCUUCAGACACCUGAUAGAGACAUCCAGCAUUAUGCAUAUUGUUUUAAGGGGUUGUAGACUCCCCCAGAUCUAGCCAUGUGUCCUAAGUUCAGAGCUCCUUAUUUCCAUUUCAGGUCACCUUGCUCUAGGGUGGAAGUGAGGCAUAGCAUUUGGAAACUGCAAGAACUUGGUUUCAGCCCAGGGUGUGAGUUUCAUCCUGGCUCUGCCUUGGAUUUGCUGUGUCGGCUUAGGCAAGUGGAGACCCCUCUCUGACCUCAGGCUUAUACCUUCAUGUGGAAAAGAAAAGCAUUGAGCUACAUAAAGAAUGGGCCCACUGUCUGGCACAUAGUAGGCACUCAGUAAAUGGCAUCAUCAUUACUCUUGGUGAAGACCUAAGAACUGCUAAGUGUAGACUCUGCCCCAUCAUUGCUUUUAGAGUGUUAUGUGUUAUAAUUCCAUUGUCUGAAGUUCUUAAGUCUGAUCCUGCUCUUGUGUCUGUUGAUUCUUGCACAUGGUAGUGCCUCGUGUGUUUUGUACUUUUGGAUUGAGAGGUCACCUUAGGUAGGAUUGUAUCUCUGGAAUUCUGUGUGACCUGCAUUGAUCCUAGUAACUAGAAGUCAGCAAAUAAUAAAUAUUUUUGAAUUUGAAGUCCACAUACAGUCUCUCUUGUGCAACUGCUUGACUCUUUCAUUGUGCAAAAGCAGCCAUAAACCAAUGAGUAUGGCUGGAUCUGGCCCCUGGGUAGAUGAGAUUUAGCUCAAAGGUCAUAGAUUAUUCACCCCUGUGCUCGAGGGAUUUUGUAUUUGCUUUUGCUUAAUGUCCAGCAGUGUUCCAAGAGAGAAUAAAUUUUUAAAUUAAUUUCUUAGCUGGGAGCAGUAGCUCUCAAAGUGUCGUCCUUGGGCCAGCAGCCUCAGCAUUCCCUGGAAAUUUGUUGACAUGCAAAUUCUGAGGCUCCCACCCACAUCUACUGAGUUUGGAAUUGGGGUUGAGGGGUGGGGCCAGGAUCCAGGAGUCCCUCGCUUAGCAAGCAAGCCAUGCAGGUGAUUGUGCUGCACACUCAAGUCACAGAAUGCCAGAGACGGUACUGUAUCACUUUGAACUCCAUGGGGACAGAUUCGCAGGGGAGACUUCUUUUUGAUUUUCUAGUCUAGAAAUAAGGCUGAUACUGAUCAAGCUAUGUCUUUUUCUAGUAUUAGUGGACAGAAGUGCUCUGGCUCACACUGUUAUGCAGGUGGCAGAAGAUGCCUGAAUACCGAGAUGGGCACCUGUGCCAUCCCUCUGGUGCAGAGGGCAUGGAAGUGUCAGUUCUCCUACUUAGUGCUCUAAUUUUGCACUUCCUCUUUAGUUUUGGCCUUGGGAAUUUCUCUUACUUUCUCAUGGAGCUGACCUACAUAUCUAGGGUGCUGGUCCACUCCAUGCAGCUUCUCAGGGUGUUUGGGAGUGGCAUUUCAGGUUAUAUUGCCUCCUGUGUUGCCCAAUACAGAAGUCCUCAGAACUGAAAGAAAAGUUGAGUUUUUGCUUCUUCUUUAGAGUAUCUGGCAGCCCCCCUGCUUCUCUGGUGACCAGACACUUGUCACUAACCCUGAGGUCAGAGUCACUCAUAGGGACCACAAACUACCCUGCCCUGGGGGCUCUCCAUCUUACUUAUUGCCAGGAGUUUGAGUCCAGUUCAGCACCCCACUGGGUGAGGCAUGAGAGUGUUCACUCUCUACAAGGGGCAAGAGUCUUUACUAGAAUUCACUGCCCAUGGUCAGUGUACCUGGGGACCUCUCCCUAUCCCAGCAUGUAAACCUCCUGUACCACUCUAGGGGGACUUGUCUCCCUCCAGGUUUUUUCUCUGGGGGUCAGAAUGGUGUCAAGGUUCAGGUUAAGAACACUGGCUUUGAAAUCCACUGGAAUCAGGUUCCACUCCCAGUUCUGCUUCUUUUAGGCUGUCAUCUUCACAAGCCCCUGUACCUCUCUGAGCAUUAGCUUCCUCAUCUCUAAGAUGGGGGUGACAGAGGGCUUCCUGUAAGCGUCUAGUGAGAUCAUUCAGGGGGCGCAGUUGGUAGAGCACCUAGGCCACUGAGUCUUCAAUGAGUGUUCCUGCUUGUGACUGGAAUGACCAUUGUGAGUUGGCCUCCCAUGAUAAUGGACUUGGAGAAGUCAGGCUGGGGAAGUGGAUGGGCCUUGGCUGCUCAUGAAACAGCAAAACCAGGCAAAGGGCAAGGGCCAUUAUGUAGCAGAUGCAUCUUAGGGGUGCCUGCUCUGCAACCCCCACUCCUGCAGUGACUUUCAUACUUCCUGGUAUGUGACUUGACCCAGGGAGAGGAGGGAGCUGUCAAUCCUAGUACCCCAUCCCUCUGACCACAGUGACUGGUUUAAGGGGCUGUCACAUGACUCAAUCAGAAUUCUCUGGGAUUUUUCAGUUGGAACAGAGAGAGUUCUCUGUUUUCUCUCUAGUCAGGUUUAUGGAUAGCUUCUUGGGGAUACAGCAAAACCAGCUUUCAUGGAGAGGCCGAGAGAGACAGAGCCUGGUUAAAUUAUCCCUGAGGCCACUUUGUCCUGUUUCUUUAUAGUUUGGUUAUAGGAGCCCACCUUGGUCCUUUUGUUUGUUUGUCUCAGCUCAUUCAGAUUGUUUCUAUCACCUAGAUCAGAAACACCUCCCUAAAUAUGUCUCCCCAAGGAAGGGUCUGGGAAUUCUUGGCCACUCCAUUCUGCACAAUCAAGUUUUUACAAAGGUGAACCAUCACCCGGCUCCAUGUGCCCUGUUACUUGAAGAACAUGAUGUUAAGAAUGAAGGGGACAGGCCAGGGAUUUAGCUCAGUGGCACCGUGACUGCCUCACAAGCAAAAGGUCCUAAGUUCGAUCCCUGGUACUGGAAAAAAAAAAAAAGAAUGAAGGGCCAGAGGGAGGUCACACUGUAUGCCAGGAUGGAGCCAUGGCGGAAGCCCACUUCCCUAAGGAUUUGAAACUUCCUCUCUCUGUAGGAACCUUUGGUCAGUGACUUGGCUGUGUUCAUAUCAGAAUCCACCUGAGAAAUAAGUUCCCACAGAAGCCACUUGAGACUCCCUAGCAGAAGUCAUCCAUCUUCUUUCUCUGUCGUACCGUAGCCCAGCAAGUCUGGCACAUUGGCCAUGGAUUCUGCCCGCUUAUUAAAAGUGGCCUGCAGACACCUGCAAAGUUCUCCAUGCCCCCUGCAGCCUGCUGCACCUGCUGAUGUUCUCAGCACAAUUCUCCCACCAUUAUCUUUGAUCUCAAAAAAGAUCAUCUUGAAAAAGAUUGUUUUGUGUGCAGUUUACCCACACACCACUUUUUCUAAUUUUGGCGGAGUUGCUCCCCCCCCCUCUUUUAUUUCUUUCUUGGAUUUGUACUGAGGUUGGCUUCCUCAAACCAAAAUAACUCUCACAAUGCGCGGGGAAAAGUGCUUCCUGUGGAUGAAUGACAACUGUAUAAAAGCCAGCAAGCCGGCCGAUUUCUGUCCUUUGAAGAUGCUUGUCAGCCAGUGCUGCGGUGAAGUGUCAGGCAUCACCCAGGGUGACUGUGGAGAUGCCUGCAACAGUGAGCUUUUUUUCCAGAAAGCCUUCAGCCCAAACUUUGAGCUCUCAGGGGACCCAGAGCAGCAUCCAUUUUCUGCAGAGAUGAAAGGCGAGGCUGGCUGGAGCAGCUGGUGUUUGCCGCUGUUCCCAGCAGGGCCCUGCAGCACUGGCUUUGUAGCUCACCUGCUCUGCUCUCCCAGUUCAACUCUGCUCCCUCCUUUUCUGACUGCUGAGCCUGCUGAGGACCAGGCCAGCAGCUGCAGGCAGACCUGUGAGAGGAGACAGGGUGCUCUAGUGCCUGCCCUAUGGCUCUCCUAUGGGAGAGGAGGGGAAAUCUCAGGGUGAAGAGUGUGGCUCUGGAGUCAGACUCUGUCUGGGUUCAAAUCCCAGCUCUGCCAUAUGCACUAAACCAAUGCCAUCACCUCUGAGCCUUAAUUUUCCUAUCUGCAGAAUGGAGUUGUUGGGCUUAGUGAAGAUAAAUAGGCGCCUGACACCUAGUACAUUGUAGCUGCUGCUCACCUGUCCAGUUUCACCUUGGCUGACUCUCCCUUGUGGCUCAUUACCAGAUCUACUAUGUUGAAAUAGCACAGCUUCCAGAGGGCAGCAUUAUUCCCCCUGUUCCGAGUGAUUCUCCCUGUUCACAGCAGCUUUCCAUACUUGGUCUAUCUGGUGGGCUCCUAGUCAUCUGGUGGGUUGGCCCUUAGGCAUCACCCAGCCUAGGGCAUCACUUCUCUGUAGGUCUCAACCCCCUGCCCAAGGCCAACCAUGAAGAAAACAUUGAUGUGUGUGUGUGUGUGUGUGUGUGUGUGUGUGUGUGUCUGUGUCUGUGUGUGUGUGUGUGUUUUCUCAUAAUUCAGAGGUUGGAAGUCAGAUCAAGGAACCAACAUGGUUUUAAGGCAUCCCUCUUCAGCUUGUAGAUAACCGUCAUUUUUCUGUGUCUUCUGUUCCUUCUGUAUACGUCUGUGUAUUUCUCUCCUCUUCUUGUGAGGACACCAGUCAGACUGGAUCAAGGCCCACUGUAAUGUUCUCAUUUUUACCUUAAAUAUCUCUUUAAAGGUCUUAUCUCUAAAAAUGGUCACAUUCUGAAGCACUGGGGCUCAAGACCUCAGUAUAGAAACUGGUAGACACAAUUCGGCCUGUACCAAAAGAAAGUCACCAUCCGAAGGUAGUAGACAACCCCUGCAUAGACUUCAGUCCCUGCAGGACCCCGAAGGUGGGAUUUUGAUGUCUCUAUCACCCCGUUUCCUUGGCACCUGUGUGGAAGGGAGGAGAGGGCUGGUCUCUUCAUGGAGGAUGCCUGCCUGGGGACUCUUUACCUUCCUUCCCAGACUGAGGCCCAGCUAAGCCUAGGCACAUACUUCCACACUGUGCCUGUUGGUCUUGCAAGGAGUUUGUAGGUCUCUGGUUCCUCACCCCUCCUCUCCUGUCUUGGAGGAACCCAGAAACAGAAUCUCAGCUACCCAGAGAGUGAUGGGAAGGCACCUGCUCAAGUAGGUGCUGCAUGUAUGCAUGGAGCCCCACAUAAGUAGUAGGGCUCCUGUUGACAUGUCUGGAAGUUCUUUUCUUUUUUAAAAGACUGUAUUUCUUCUUUGGAGCAGUUUUAGGUUCACAGCAUUAUCAAAUUGAUGCAUCUGUAUGGACUGAUGAACUUACAGGAUGCAUCAUAAUCACCUAGAGUCUGUGGUUUGUGUUAGGGUUGGCCCUUAGCAUCAAGUAGUCUAUGAGUUGGGCAAGUGUAAAAUGAUACAUGUCCACCAUUUCAGUAUCACACAGGGUAGCUUCACUGUCUUAAAAUCCUCUGUGCUCCAGUUAUCCACACCCUCCACCCCUCAGUGCCUGGCAGUCAUUCAUUGUUUUACUGUCCCAAAACUUUGUCCUUUCCAGAAUGCGAUAUACUUGGGAUCAUACCAUGGAAGCCUUUCAGACUGGCUUUUCACUUUGUCAUGUGUGUGCCCCCCUCCCAUUGAUAGUUCAUUUCUUUGAAUGAAAUUCCAUUAUCUGGAUGUACCACAGUUUCUUUUUCUAUUCACCUUCUGAAGGACAUCUUAGUUAAUUCCAAGUUUUGCUAUGCAUAUCUAUGUGCAGGUAUUUGUGUGAACAUAAGUGUUCAACUCCUUUGGACAAAUGCUAGGGAGCAUAAUUGCUGGAUCAUAUGGUAAGAGUAUGUUUAGGGUUUUUUUUGGUACCUGGGAUCGAACUUGGGACCUUGGACUUGCAAAGCAGGCGGUGGAACCACUGAGCUAAAUCCCUGGCCCAAGUAUGUUUAGUUUUGAUAGAGCCUGCUACACUGUCUUCCAAAGGGCUAUAGCAUUCUGCACUCCUACCAACAAUGACUGAAGUUCCUGUUGUUCCAUGUCUUCACCAGCACUUGGUGUUGUCAGUGUUCUGGAUUUGGGCCAUUCUAAUUUACAGGUGUGUCAUGGUAUCCCAUUGUUUUAAUUUAUGUCUUCCUGAUGACAUGAUGUGGAGUAUCUUCUCAUAUGCUUGUUUGUCUAUGCUGUACAUCUACUUUUUAAGGUCAGUGAACCAUUUUUAAAUCAGAAAAUUUUCUUAUUGUUAAGUAUUGAGAAUUCUUUGUAUAUUUUGGAUAAAAGUCUUUUAUCAGAUGUGUCUUUUGCAAAUAUUUUCUUCCGGUCUUCUCUUGAUGUUGUCUUUAGUUUUUUGUUUUCAUUUUAAUGAAGUCAGUUCUUUCAUAGAUGAUGUCUUUGGUACUGUGUUUAAAAUGUCAUCACCAUGUCCAAGGUUAUUGUAGGCUUUCUCCUAUGUUAUCUUCUAGGAAUUUGAUAAAAGUUUUGCAUUUUACACUUAGGUCUAUAUCCAUUUUUAGUUAAUUUUUGUAAAAAGCAAAAAGACUGUGUCUAGAUCAGUGUUUUUCCAUAUGGAUGUCCAGUUCUAGCACUGUUUACUAAAAAGUAAAAUAUUUUUGCUCUUUUGUGUUGUCUUUGCUCUUUUGUCAAAGAUCAGUUAAUUAUGUUUAUGAAGAUCUGUUUUUCUGGGCUCUCUGUUUUGUUCCAUUGAUCUAUUUGUCUGUUCUUUCUCCAAUAUCAUACUGACUUCAUUACUAUAGUAAUAAGUCUUAAAGUUUGGUGGUGUCCGCCCUAGACUCUGUUCUUCUCUUUCCCUUUUAUAUUGAGUAUUCUAUGUCUUUUGUCUUUUCAUAUAAACUUUAGAAUCAGCUUGUCCAUAUCCAACAAAUAGCUUGCUGGGAUUUUACUUAGAACUGCAUCUAGUUGGAAAGAACCAACAUCUUGACAAUAUUGAUUCUUUCUAUCCAUGAACAUGGGCUAUUUCUCCAUCUAUGUAGUUCUUUUGUUCAUCAUUUUUGUAGUUUUCCUCAUAUAGAUCCUGUACACAUGAAGUGUGAUCAAAAUACCUGAUGAACAUUAAAUUUAAAAACUUUAUUAUGAUGAUAAAAGACACAUCACCACUAGAAUUAUUCCAUCAUUCUUGCCACUGGCUGAAGCAGGUCUGGAGCCCUCCUUUGUGAGUGCCUUUAGUUGCACCAUUGUGGCUGCCUUGAUGUUCUGAAUCAACUCAAAAUGUUUACCUUUCAUGGUCAUUUUGACUUUGGGGAAGAACCAGAAGUCACAUGGUGCCAGAUUCAGUGAAUAAGGUCAAUGAGGACACACUAUAAUGUUUUUAUGACCCUGCCUUUCCAUUAGAUGGCACAUCGCAAGCACAUUCACUUUUUUUUUCAUUCACUUAUUUUUGAUGAUACCUUGCAAAGACACAAAAGAGGAUUUCCAGAACUGCUUCAGAAAGUGGCAAAAAUAAUGGAAUAAGUAUGUUUGAAGUGAGGGGGAGUAUUUUGAGGGGCAUUAAUAGUAAUGUGUCUUUUAUUAUAAUAAAAUUUUUAAAUUUAAAUAUUCAUGUAUAUUUAGAUUACACCUCCUGUUUUCUUAGGUUUAGCUUUGCUUUAUUUAUAGAGUGGCAAAUUAACCACAUAUGUGUAUUCCUGUCAAGAGCACAAUCCCCCAGGCCCCCCCCUACAGUUUUGCUCCCUCUGUUUUAGCUCUUCAUCCAUCUUUCUUUUACAAGACAGUGCUUAUUACAGUAUCUAAUUCAGAGAGUCUCUCAGAAGCACAGGGACAGGCAAGUAACAUUAAUGAUGGAUUUGACUCUAGGUAAAGCUGAAGGAAAUGUGUGUGUGUGUGUUUGUGUGUGUGUGUGUUUGUGCACACAUACAACAGGGGAGAGCUGGCCCUGCUGGGUAGAUGAAAUACCCAGCUGCUGGCUGGCCAUGGCCUUGUGCCUGCUUGUUUACAGAUGCUGGUUGUACUCACAUCCUUUCCUCAGCCCCACCAAGACUAUGAGCUCCUUCAGGGCAGGGACACUCCCGCCCUCCAGUGUCCUGCACUGCACAAUUUUGAUGAAUGAGUAACUGCAUUUGUUGUCAUCUUAUUCAUUCAUUGAAAAAUAAAGUAUGUUUGGUGUGGCAAUUAUAGAAAGAACAGAUAAAAAGAAAACAGAAAUCUACUUCUGAGAUAAAUACCAGUUUCUUUAGACCUUUUGUCAACAUGUAAUAAGCAUACAGAGAAGGGCACAGAUCAGUGUAUGUUCAGCUUGACUAAUUGUCACAACUGAACCUCCCUGGCCCAUCUGAACACCCUUCGUUCCCUUCCCAUGGUUUCCAGCCACCUCACCCCAAGGAUGAUUGCGUGCUAACUUCUUACAGCCCAGAUCAGUUUUGCCUGUUGGGAGCCAUCCGGUGCUUCUUGGUUUGUCUGGCUUCUUUCAACAUUGUAUUCUUGAGAUUCACCUGUGUUAUGUGGUAUUGCUGGCCAGCAUUCUGUGGUGUGAGUCCUGUGUUCCCCUAUUUGUUCUUCCGUUUUCCUGUUGGGCAUUGGAGUGGCUUUUAGUCUGGGGUUCCUACCAACAGUGCUUUUAGGAACAUUGGUACAUGAGUGUCUUCUGAUGCACAGGGACACAUAGGUUUCUGGAGGAUAGAUCUAAAUUCCUCAAUCUUGACACUGUUGUUAUUUGGAGGUUGGUAAUUCUUUGUUAUAGGAGCUUCCCUGGGCAUUGUAGGGUGUCUACCCACUAGAAUUAUGUAUGCAUUCCCCCAUGUUGGGACAAUCAGAAAUGUCUCCAGGGGUAGGACUGUCCCUAGUUGAGGAGUUGUCUAUAUUGAGGACUAUAUUGAGGACAUGGGGUCUGGCCAGGUGUGUGCCAACCUUUAGUAUAGCUGCUGUCAAGUGUCUGUCCAAAGUGGUUGUACCACCUCCUCAAGCUCUGUGUGACCUAUAAAUACAUUUAUAUAUAAUAUUUGUGGAAUAGCGUCAUACUUUAAAUAUUAUCCUACCUCACACUAAUUUGCAUGGCCUCGUCUUUUAUAUUUUAUCAUUUCUUCUUUGAUUAGGGAGCAAUGAAGGGAAUUAAGUCUAUAUUUAUCUCAGAGAUCUGACUUCCUCAGUUUAGUACCUGGCUGUACAUCUUUCUAGCUCUGUGUCUUUGGCUAAGUGGCUUCUAUUCUCUAUGUUUCAGUCUCCUCAUCUGUAAAACAGGGACACUAACACUGCCUACCUCAGUUACUUGGUGGAUCAGAAGAGUACCUUAACAUGCAUGGGGGAUGAGGAACAGGGCCUGGCACACAGCAAGUGUUGUGCUGACCAUUAGUAUCCAGUUGAGUGACGGUGUAAGACUCCGUCCUGUGGAUGAGUUACAGUUUAUGUUUCAGAUUGGGUUGCCAGGUUUUGCACUGAACAAAUAAAAAAAAAUAAUAAUGUAAGAUGCCUGGUUAAAUUUAAAUUUCAGAUAAAAAAUUUUAUCCCAUGCAAUAUAUGGGUUGUACUUAUACUUUAAAAAUAUAUUAUCUGAAUUAUUUUGUUUAUCCCAACAGUUUAGGCAUCUUGUAUUUUAUCUAGUAAUCCUCUUAAUUCCUUUCUCUCUUCUGAACUCUGAAAUAUUAGCACCCUCCAACCUGAGUCUUCACACACAAAUUGUGUUUCUUAAACUUAGCUUCUCCUUUGAAUUACCCGAAGGGCUUGUGAGAGUGUGGAAUCCUGGCCCCUCCUCAUCCCCACUCCUAAGUCUCUUGAAACCCAACCUCAGAGGCUGGGGUGAGAUUCUGAAUUCUUUGUUUUCGGUACCGGGGAUCGAACUCGGGUCCUUCUGCUUGCCAGGCAGGCGGUGAAACCACUGAGCUAAAUCCCCGGCUGAGAUUCUGAAUUCUUAACCAAGGCUCAGGGUGGGUUCCCAGCCUACCUGCCAGCUGUUCAUGAUGUGCUCCCUGGAUGUGGGGCAGGACAGGCUUCCUGAGCACACCCUGCUUUCCACGGUGGGUGUCUCUGUUCAUUCUCUCCUGGACUCCUCUGCCCGAGGCCUUGAGCUGGGACAGGGGGCUGAGGACUCACCCCCACACUGGGCUGUGCUUUCAUGUGGCUCAGCCCCUGCCCAGCCUUUCAGGAAGCAGCAGCUGAACCUUGGCAAUGGGAGGAAGGCUGAGAGCUGUGGGCACCAGAACCUGCUGCAUUGAUCUGAUGUUCUUGGAAGGCCUGUCACGAGGAAAACAGGCAGCAAGUAAAUAGCAGACAGAGGGCUGGCUGCAGCGAGGGUCUGGCUCAGCCUAAGGACCUGUCUGACUUUGAGGAACUGGCCAGGUCUGGCUACCUCUUUGGAAGGCAUGGUGCCCCUUGGCCCCAGGCUCGAGACCUCCUGAGACCCUAUGGUCUGGCCAGGUGCUCCAAGGAGCCUGGGGAGGCGUCUACACACCUCCAGUCUCUCAGAAGCUCAGAACACAGAGGCAGUGGCUUCCCCUAGUCUCCUGCUUCACUUAGAAGAUGGCUCAGCCUCCUUUGGCCUUGCCCAAGACUCUUCUAUUUCCCUUCCUCAAUUCUUCUUUGUAAUCAAGUCAGCUGUUGAAUAAAGGCCCUAAACUCACCAUGCCAAGCUGCCUCUGGGUUUCCUGCUUGCUUAGCAGGAUGGAAACUUUGGUGUGGGUAUGUGAGUGUCCUUUAAAAAUGAAAAAAAAAAUCCUUUAUUUAUUCUGCUCUUGUUUUUAUAAGAUAUGACUCUUAAUGAGGCUUUAAUUCAAGGUCAAAGAGUCUGGAAGUUGGUGAGAAAGCCCAUUGCCCCUCUGGGCCCUGCUAGACACGUAAACAGCCAGUGGAUGGCUGUUUUCAACAGUCCCAUUGCAACAGAGCUAUUCCAUGCACGAGGAGGUAAAAUAUUUGAACUGACCGUAUUGCCUCUUCUUGUUUGCAAAAUGCUGCUGUGCCCCCCUUGUCUUUAUUUAUUCUUUCCUUUUCUGUAGUUCAAGGGAAAUAAUUUAUUAACUUGGGAAUUAGAAAUAUCCUUCCACAGCCCCUUUGUCCCCCAAGGCCCGGGCCAACCAGCCUGCCCAGAUGAGGGAGUCGGGAGAGGCCUUUCUGUCAAAGGCACAACCAAGGCGAGGCCCCGGUGGACCCCGUAAUAUAUUCACAGCCAUGACACUCAGGCCCUGUGGGUCUUGAACCCCAGCCUCCGGGGACUGGCGGGGCCAUGCCAUCGACCUGAACCCCUGGACUGCCGCCCCAGUCUAAAUCCAUCAGGCUCACCAGCCCUGGUCCUGGACCACUGAAUAAUUUACGGUCCCUGGGAGCGGCAGGGAGCGGGUCACUGGAGUUCAUGGGUUAAUAACAGGUUUGGUUUUCGAUGUCAGCAGCUCUCUUGAUAACGUAUGAAAGAAUCCUAUUCUGUUGAUUAGAUUUUGAAAUGGAUCAAUUUUUAAUCAGCCAAACACCUGACUCACUCAAUAAGAGUUGCAUUGUGGAGACAGGAUGGAGGCUGGCUUUAUUUACAGGAGUGUUUGUUUUUUGGGGGCCAUACGCAAAUUCCCACCCAGCUCCCUCCUCCUGGCAGAAAUUGACCGGGUUAUCUCCCACCUCAAAUGGCAGCGUUUGAUUCCCCUUCUGAUUAGUUGGGAAAUCCAUGGGUCUGUUUAAGAGAUAAGAACAGCAGCUAAAGGUUUGAUUUAGUCAUCCGUGGUUAUUGAUGGAAAAAGCAUUUAUUUGCCAAUGAAGAAAUUUUGCUUAAUGUAACAGCAAGAAAAAAGAGAGGAAACAAAGGGAGCCCAAGCUGUACCAGGGGUGGCCAAGGGCCGGGAGUGCUGGGGGCUGCUUCCCUGUCCUCUGAGAUUCUCAGAACGACAGCAUGGAAAUCAGCAAAUGAAACACUGAAUUUGUAGACGUGAUGGGGAGAGGAGUGUUGGUUCUGGUCAUUUUAUUUAUUCGGUAAACACCUGAGCCCUCACCAUGUGCCAGGCAUUGUGCUAGGAAUUGGGAUGAAGCUGUCACUGGGACAGAUGAGGUUCCUGCCCUCCUGGAGCUUCUGAUGGUUGUGGGGAGCAGGUCAUAAAAAGGGCAAGGUGGACAGUCAGUGUGGGGAGGAAGAGAUCCAGAGGAAGAAACCACUAGAGCACCGCUUCCCACUGGUGUCAAGAAAGGUCAUGGGGUGAAGAGAACAGCAAAGAGGGAGAGGCCAGGGCCAGCAAGGGAGGCUCUGGAAGCUGUGGGCCGGGGGAGCCAGGGAAGGCGGGGCAGCAGGGAGCAAAUAGCACCUGUCCCCCCCCUGCCCCCAGCUGGUGCCCAUGAGGUCGGGCAGGAAUCUGGGUUUUGUCUCCAGGCACUGGGGAGCUAGGGAGAGGUUUGGACAGUGGAGAGGCUGGUGAGUUUUACGUGGGAAAAGGUUGACCCAGUAUGGGAGACCGUUAAGGGGUCUACCAUAGCUAACUGGCUGGCGAUGAUGGGAGCUCUGACCAGAGCCAGCCUGGAGGGGGCAGACAGGACAGAUUUGGCAGUUCUGGUCCAUGGCCAAUGAGGAGACAGUUUGGUGCCUGGCCUGACAAGGCCUACUUCCCAAGCCUGCAGGGACCUGGUCCCACAGGGCCGAGGGAUGAUUUGUAGCAGAACAUUGCCCAUCUGUGGACCGGGCCUCAGACUCCCUCAGACUAAAGACUUGGGAAUAGGUGGCAGAGAGGCUGGGGACUUGGGCCAUGAAAUCAGAUGGAUAUGCAGGCUUCAGGUCUCAGCACUGCCUUUUACAAGCUGGUGACUUCAGACAAAUUGUCCUUUGCAUGUACAAGUUAGAAUAGCUUCUGGUGUAGACCUUUGCAGAAGGACUCCUAAGAAGCUGCCAACAGUGGUUGCCCCUGGGAACAAGGUCUUGGAGUGGAUAGGAGACCCUUCUCUCUCUUCCCAGCUAGGGUUGCCUUUCUUGUUGCUGUUGGUCAAGGUCACGGACUUGGUGGAACUUAGAGGAGUUGGGUUUUCCCGGCACGAGAAGCGAUUUCUUGCUCCCCGGUGCUCUACUCCAGGAACCAUCGAUUGGGCAGCUUUAUUUAUUAGUUUAAUCUUUGCACAUCCCUCAGUGACACUGUUCUCUCACCCACUCUGUCGGGGGACAGAAAGGCCUAUGAGUACCCCUGUGUGUGUGCCUGGGUAGGUUUGUGCCAGUGUCCACAGGCCUGCAGGUGUCCACGUGGGAUGUCUGAGCCUGCCUUUGGUCCUGAAUGGAAGGACGCCUCACCUUACAACUCUGUGACACACAGGCCUUGCAAGCAUCUUAAUCCAGGUGUGGUGUGCAGUACUUGCUCAUCAUGGGAUCCCAAUGGAAGGAACCAUCUGAUCUUGCGUCAGAAGUCCUGGGUUCUGGUCCCCUCAUAUCCAUUUAGCUGCUGUGUGGCCUGAGCAGGUCACUUCUGUUCUCUGGGCUUUAGUUUCUCAUCUGUAAAAUGGGAAUGACAAAUUUCUUGCUGAGCACCUUCCAACCUCAGCCUUUGCACUUGCGGUUCCCUCUUUUCUCAUGUGCAGGCCUAUCUUGCUUCUUCACUUCGUCUGGUGGUUUCUCAAAAGAUACCUUCUCAGGAAGCCUUCCCUGCUGCUCUAACAAAACUCUUUGCAUGCACAGGCACGUACAUAACUUCCUGUAUUUUUCUUUCUUCCUUAACAUUUAACAUGAUUGAACAUGUAUUUUACCCAUUUCUCUUGUUCACUGACUGCCCUCAUUAAAAUGUCAGCUCCAGGAGGGCAGGCAUUUUUUUUUCCUGUUUUGCUUAACACCGCGUUCCAGGCACCUAAAACAGCUCUUGGCACAUAGCACAUGCUCAGUAAAUAGCCGCUAAGUGAAUGAAGUAAGUCAGUAUAAUGGAAGGCACUUAGAACAAUGACUGGCACAGAGUAAGCACUCAGCAAGGCAGUUAUCACUACUCAGGUUUCUGCCAUUAAACUGUCUGGAGCCUCAGUUUCCUCAUCUAUCAAAUGGAGAUGGUGCUGAUAAUAGCUGUCCUAGAGUUGUGAACAUUCAGUGAUGUGGAUGUCAAGUUUUUGGGGCCGAGCCCUAGGGGCUGUUAGGGGCUGUAUAAUAAAGAUGCUCCCCCAGGAGGUGUUUCUGGGGAGUGGAGUUAGUGUGUGGGACCCUGGGACUGGGCCUCACCACACAGCCACUUGUCUUGAUUGACUGCUGCAGGAUGGGGGUCUGCUCCUCUCAUCUGCCUCCAGCUACUCUACCCAGAGUGCCCAGCCGAAGUUCACAGACAGCCUCUGAAAUUCUAGCUUUCUCAAGGGGUGUCUCACUCUUCCAAAGUUUAUUUGAUUUUAUUUUAAAUUUAAUUAAUUAAUUGUUUCCUCUUUUUGUGGGACUGGAGAUUGAAUGCAAGGCCUCAUGUAUGCUGCUGGGCAAGUGCUCUGCCACAGAGCUACACCCCUUGUUUUCAUUUUUAUAAAAAAAAAAAUAUGGCGGGGCCGGGGAUUUAGCUCAGUGGUUUCGCUGCCUGCUGCGCAAGCACAAGGACCCGAGUUCGAUCCCUGGUACCAAAAAAAAAAAAAAAAAGGAAAGUUUUGUGUGCAUGUGCUUUGGGGAGGGAAAGACCAGUUGGCAUUUAUUGUCCCGGGGAAGCAUCCCCAGCACUUGCCGUGUAGAUAAAAACCAGUAUCAAGCAGCAUGUACUGUUGCAAUUUCUGUAAAUUAAAAACUCAGAGCCUUCCUUGGCCGGGGGUGGGGAGUGAGGUUGUUUGUUGGCAAGGCCUGGCUCCCGAGCCUCAGCCCUGGACUCUGGGUUGCAAGCUGCAGAAACCAGCACCUCUCCCGCGACCGGUGCGAGGAGAGCUCGGCCCACAAGAGGAGAUGCAGAGGCUGCUGUCCCAAAGCACGGCAGAUGUUCAUGCCAGUUGGGAGGGCCUGGGACAGGGUGGGGAGCGGGUCCCCAAAUGAGAAUGUGGGGCAACUGCUGGGGGCAGCGAGAGAUGGUGCUGGGGCAGGGGCAGCCAGCCCCUUACAACCCGAGUGCCCUUGGCCUUCAGUGUCUUCCUACAGUGUCUUCCUGUGCUUGCUGGGGCUGUGUCUGUGCCUGGGCGCCUUUCCCCAACCCGCAGGACCACGUUGUCCCCAAGAGCAGCCCUCUCGCCAGCAGACACUCCUCCAAGUGACAGGGCGCUGAGUCUGGUCUGUUCUUUCUCUGGGUAGUGGAGAUUAUGAUGUUUGUGUUUGGCUUUCUCAAGGAGGCUUUUAGGUUUUCAGCAUUGAGAAUGUAUUUGUUAUGUGAAAUCAGUAUGCCCCAAAGGACAGGAAUGCCCCUGGGAAGGCUGGGGCAGGACAGCACGUAGUUUGGUAGCGUCCAUGUUCCUAUUCUUAUUGUGGACAGAGCAAUUUGGACCUCUUCAUCCAGCUGAGAUGAAGGGGAAAGACAAAGAAGAGAAGGGAAAAUCACAGUGCGAAAUUGAAGGAUUUGGCGUUGGAAUAAAUAAAAGGCUCAAAUUGCUCUACAUUCAGUUUUCUAGAUUUGGAGCUUCUGUAGGAAGAGGGUUUGAAUUAACUCCACAUCUCUUGGGCACCUACUGUGUGCCAGUUCUGUACUUGGCACUUUUGGGGGCAGACAUGAGUGAGGGGAAGUUCCUGAAAUUGCCCACAAGAAGCAGCAAAUAGCAGUGGCCCAAGUUGAGCAGGGUGGCACGUGGCUAAGGGAAGCUCGAGCCCAGGUUUAGGACAGAGGAGAGACAGGACCGGAGCAGCCAGGUCAUGGGGGUAAGGAUAGGCAUUUGAAGCAGCCUUGAACCUGGAAGCCUCGACAAACCCAGAGACAGAGAAGGUGGGUCCUCUGGGGGCAGCAUGGAUGAAGGCUGGAGAGGAAGGGCAGAGCCAUGCCCCAGGAGCCAGAGCAGGGCAGUUUCACCCACGUGUGGAAGAAUGAUGUGGAAGCUAGGCUGGGAGGAUGGGGGAGCCUGACCCUCAGAAAGGGGAUUGCUGUAUUCCUUGGUGGGCCGCAGGAACCAUGGAAGGUAUUUGAGCAGGGGAGUGGGAUGUUUAGAGCUGCAUUUAAAAGAUUCUUCUAUCGUUUCCCACACUGUUGAUGCUUGAGGCUGUUUUGUGUGGGGCCUGCCCUGAAUGUUGAGGUGUUUAGCAGCGUGCCUGGCUUUUCCCUGGGGUUAUGGUAACCAUAAAUGUGUCUAGAUGUGGGCAAUUGUCCCCAGGAGCAAAUGUGAAGGAGGAUGGGCCAGGGUCUGAGGACCGGGGCCUGAUGGGCCAUGGGGCCAGGGACAGCUGGAAGCCAAAGAGGAGCCCUCUGGGCCAAGUGGGACUCAGGGACCCCAGAGCUGAGGCAUCUUGGGCUAUCUCUAGGGCUUGGCACAAGGCCGGUCCUUUGUGUUCUUGAGUGAAUGAAUGAAUGAAUGAAUGAGCCAAGUAGAAGGCUUAGGAGGAAGGCCUGAGGUUGAGGAGGGAGUUAGGAGAAUGUUUCCCCAUGAUGUUUAGUGGGCACCAUGGAGAUUGCAGCCUGUGGGAGAAGGGUGCCCAGGUAUACGUGAGCAGGGAAGGUGCCAGGUGCUGUAAAGGGACACACAAGGCUCGUAUGUUGGAAGUCUUGCGGCUAGCAGGGAGGCUGGGAGAGGAGGCCAGGCAGCCGGCGAGGGGCUGCCAUGAACAGGGUGGCCCACUUUCAGCGCAGAGAACUCACUCAUUCAAGGUCAUGUUUCUAGUGGCAGAGCCACAGGCCACCCUUGACACAGAAUGGUGAGAGCAGACAGCAAGGCCAUGUCUUCCAGAACUAGGGUGAGUGUCAUCAAGGAAGGCUUCCAAGAGGAGGCAACCCUUGGAUCAAGAACAGGAGGCUGAGCAGAAGUUUGCAGUAGGCAGGGUGAGGGAAUAGCGUGUGUAGAGACCCGGAAGCUGUGCUUGUUGGAGCCUGGGUUUGUGGGGGUGACCGUGCCUUAGCUCAUCUAUCUCCCUGGACCUUCUGAGUGGAUGGGGUUCCCCCGGCCCUCAGCGGGGAGGACUGGCUGAGCAGGUGUGGAGUGGUCAUGGGGUCUUGGCGGGGACAUUCCCAGUGCAGGAGACAGUAGGGUUCCCCUGUACCCUUCUUCCCAUCUGGCUCAGCACCAUCUCUGCUUCCAAGAGGGCAGAUAGAGGGGCCCACAGAUGUCCCCGCCUCCACCCUCACGGCUGGCAACCUGUGGCUUUUUGAGAGCGUGAUUUUCAGUGCCUCAGUGCGCUGCUGGAGAGAGCAAACUUAACUUUAUCGCCCACCCCCCAGCACCGAUUUAAAAAAGAAAAAAAAAUUUUCCAGAACAGGCCACCCGCUAUUACGGAAAUAGUAAACAGGAGUCAGAGACAGGGCAGAAGUGGUCUGUUUUAAUUAGAACAUUAAAGUAUCUUAACGCUUACACUUUAUAUUUUUGCGAACUUGAUUAUAUAGCAUUUUAAAUACCUGUGAACAUUUUAAGGACUCUCAGCAGUGAAUUAUUUGCAGUUUCACAGGAAACUUCUAUUUUAAAAGCAGAGCGGCGUGAGAGCGGCUGUGAGGGCUUUGCGGCUGCGGCUGCGGCUGCGCUGUAUAAUGAGGAGCUGCGUGGCGGCCGGCUGGCACAUGGCCCGUGGUGCCCACCUGUCACGCAGGUUCCCCGUGCCCCCUUUCAAAAGUGGCCCUGCCGGGUGCUGGGGGGUGGGGAGGCUUCUGGGCCCAGCCAGAGCCCCAUGUCCCCAAGUGCCCCCUAGGACCUGGUGGUUCUUCCUCCAAAAGGUGUCUCAAGUAUGCUUCUUCGUCUCCCAGACACCUGGGUGACCACAGACGCCUCCUCAUGGGGCUUCUGGCUUCUUUUGUCCCCUGCAGCCUCCUUCCCACCCAGCAUCCUAAGACAUCUUUCUAACACACAAAUCUGCCUCCUUGCACACUUGUGCAGAAACCUUCCGGGGCUUCUGCUGUGGCAGGAAGGAACAUCGGAGCCCUGUCAGCUCUCCAGGGCCUUGGGCACUUGGCCUCCAGGGACCCUGCUGAGUUGGCGCCAGCUUCCCCCUGCUCUGUGCCAGCACCUCCCAGGCACAUGGUUCUUAGUCUUCUAUUCUCUUGCUGUUUCUUGACUGUCUCCUGUGUGUGGGCAUUGUUCUAGGCCCUAGUGAUAGGAUAGUGAGUGAGCCUGGCAGAACUCCCCGCCCUCAUGGGGUGACCCUCCAAAUGGGGUAGCCCUCCAAAUGGGGUAGCAGGCCAUUUGUUAUCACUGAAAGCUCUAAAAGGUUCGCCAUGACCUAGAGGGUCCCCCAACGACCACCCUAUGGCAUUUUGGGGGGGAGGUGGAGGCUUUAGAGGGUAGGGAGGACCUAGCAGAAAGAAGUCAGCCCUUUGAGGGUGAGCCCUUGAAAGGGAUAUUGGCACCUGGUCCUUGUCUUUCUCUCUGUUUGCUUCCUGGCCACCGCAAGAUGAGCAACUUCCUCUGUCACGCUCCCCCUUGUGAUGUGUUGCCUUGCUACAGGGCCAAAGGCAAUGAGGCCAGUGGAUCAUGUGCUGAAAUCCCUCAAACAGAGCCAAAAUAAACCUUUGCUCUUUCCCAGCUGAUUUAGCCCAGGUACUUGUUACAGUAGUGGAAAGCUGGAGAAGGUGGGGACAGGGAGCUGCUUUUGCUGUGAAGAGGUUUCUCUAAGAAGGUGGUACUGUGAGCCCUGAAUGAAGUCGGAGAGCAGCACAGAAACUGGCAUAUGUCACAAAUGGAGCGAGCCCAUUAUUAAACAGGUACUGGCACACAUCUGGAGCAGGUCAUAUGGAAACCCAGAGGAGGCUUGAGAAGGACAUCCCCUGCAGUGGGACUGUGUUCCAGACGUUUGAGGAACAUUGUGGAAGCCAGUGGGGAUGGGACUGGGUGAGUGAAAGGGAGAGUGGAAGGAAAUAAACCCAGUAACAUUUCUUGCCUGUUUUUGGUUUCUGAAAUACUCACCUCCUAUUUCCUGUGCCCAGAUUACUCCCCUGGCUGGGUCCUUCAGUUUCUGCCUCCGAACAUUUUUGCUAACACACACCCUCCCCGCUUAUUCUUAUAUUGGCACCACUUGGUGCCCUCCCUGGUGUUUGCCUCAGAUUGUAAUCAGUAUGGGUUGUGUAUUCCAGGUCAGUCUGUCUCUCCCACUGAGCUCAAGUUCUGAGAGAUCUUGUUGUUCCCUGCUGUCCCCUCACAUUCCAGCAAGGGUCUGAACAGUGAAUGCUGAUGGAGAACCUUUUCUGAAUCCAAGAUUGGUUUGGAAGAUGUUGUGAAUGGUGUGAGAUCAGGAAUCAGGACUCAUGCGGCCCUUAAAGAAACCAGAGGCUCCUCCUGACCUGGGGUCCAGCCAGAUCACUAUAGCAUAAUUCCAGGAGCCCUUCUAGUUACUCUUGAAGCAGUGUGGCAGAAAGUCCUCAGUAAUGCCCACAGUGACCCCCACCCCACAGACACACAUACACUCCAGCCACCAAAUCUGUCAUCGAGGAAAAGCAUGGCUGCCAUUCCUGCCAAAGACAUUGGCCACAUGGGAAGUUUAAUAUUCCCUUUAUGCCAUGUCUAGGGCUUGUAGUGUCACGAGAGCAGUGGAGCUCAGGAGGUCAAGACUUAAGGUACAGUUUGAUGGAGAAACCACUGAGGUCCUGGUGCCUGGGACUGUGUGGCCCCAGGUGCAUCUGGGGGGGGAAACAUUUUGAUCAAAGGAAACGUGUUCAGCUGACCUGAUGAUUUCUUAUUUUAAUGAUGAGAGCUUAGAACAUAUUGAUUGAGGUGAUCAGCGUUUAGAUCUUUCAUAGUUAAUGAGGAACUGUCUGAUUUAUAUUGGAAACAGUCACUGCCCAGGGCUUUUAAUGAAGCCUGCUGUGUCCAAGAGACAAAGACACUUGACCUUAAAGACAUGGGUGUGGAGCAAGGGAGGAAGAGAACUCCACUUCUAGGCCAUUGAAUUGACUCCCUCUGUCCUUGAAGGUCAAAUCCUGGCUCUGUCUUCCUUGGAACCUUUGUUUCCUCUUCUGUCAAGUGGGGCUAGGACUGCAGUUAUCUCAGGGAAUGGUUUAUGGUUUAUGAAGAUUAAAAGUGACAUUGGAUGUAAAAAUCUUGGAGUGAUGCUAAACAAGAUAGGCACUCAAGAAAAGUUACCCAUUGUUUAAAAUGGAACAUUGCAGGAUUUUUCCACUCUAGCCAGGAACUUCCUAAAGAAGUCACCCUGAAUGAGAAGUUGCCAUGGAGUUACGUGGCCCACUGACUGGUCACUUGUCAGGAGGCCAUGGGUGUUAAACCAGAAAGCAAUGCUUUUCCUUGAGAAAAUGCACUUAGAGGCCCAGCCUCUGAUCUGGCUCACCUGAGUGGCUGCUAAUUUGAUCAUUACUUGGUGAGCUCCUUCAGUUUCUGUGUGUCUUGCUGUAGACCAGGCUUCACCAUGAGUCAUCUGUCCAAUUAUUCAGUACUAGCCGAGGGGGCGGAGGGCUUCACUUUCAUAUCCUCCUUUCUGGAACAGUGCUGCACACAGUAGGUGCUCAGCCCCUAUCUGUUGAGUGCACGAAAUUGCAUGCCCUUAGGGGCUUAAGAACAAAGGGCUGCAUGCCAGAGAAAUGAAGACUUCAGUUCACACAGAAACCUGCACAGGAAUGUCCUCAGCAGUUUUCAGCAUAACAGCCACACAGUAGAAGCAAGCCACUGUUCUUCCCUGAGCCAGUGACUAAGCUGUGGUACAUCCAUCCACGCCAUGGACAAUGCUCAGUGAUAAAGAGGAAUGAGCCAUUAACACACAAACAACUUGGAUGAAGCAACUCGGGUGAUGCUGAGUGAAAAAAGCCAAUACCGAAGGACUCACAGACUGAUUCCAUUUAUAUGGGAUUUUUUGGAAAACAAAGUUAGUGAAGUGGAGAACAGAGUAAGGAUGGACAGGGAGGGAAAUAAGUGUGGUUUUAGGGCACCGUGUUGGGUGUGCUGGCAUAUGCCUGGUAAUCGAAGCACUCGGGAGGCUGAGGCAGGGGGAUUGCUGUGAUUCGAGGCCAGUCUGAACCACAUAACUUGAGCCUGUCUCAAAAAAAAAAAAGGCACCAUGAGGGACCCUUAUCAUAAUGGGAAUUUCUGUGUCUCAAUUGUGUCAGUGUCAAUGCCCUGGCUGUGACAUUGUGCUCUAGCAUUUUGAAGUGGUACCAAGAGGUCUCUCUGUUUUCUUUGUUGUAGCUGCAUGUGAAAUCUGUGAUUAUCUGAAAAUUAAAGGUUCAAUUAUAAAAGUGAAGGGCUAAAAGUACUUCAUUAAAUAUCAAAACUGCAAUGGCAGGAACCCCUGGUAUGUGCUCCAUUACCUCAGGUCUUCCUAACAGCAGUGUGAAGUAUGUGGCUGCAGUGUCACAGAGAAGGAAACACUCAGAGAGGCUAAGGUUCUUGCCUAAAGACAUGCAGCUGGCCAGUGGUGGAGAUGGGACUCCAGCCUGGGAGCAUCAGGCUCAAACCCCAAGUUUGUGCCUGGGCGCAUGUGGUGUAGAACCCCCAUGGUUUGGAUGCUGGCAUGUCACCCAUGAUCAUGUGCUGUCUGACCAUGUGCUGGGCCCCUCUUCUUUAAUGACUGAUAGUUCUUGGGACGGGGAGCUGAUAGUUGGCCUGGGCUUUGCACCUGGCUGUUCCUGGGUGAGCCACAGAUCUUGAGUCCCUGCCCUCUCCCCACUCUACUUCCUUUGCCCUAAGCAAGGACAUUGGUGUGCUAUGGUGGAUGUUGUUAUACCCAUUUCACAGGUGGGGAAGCUGAGGCACAGGAGAAGGAACUGGCCGUCCCAGCUCUAGCACCCUGAGCUGAUGGUCACAACUUCGUUGACUUGUCUCUCACAGCUGCUUUUCUCAGGGCAUCCGCACCCUGUGACAGUGGUCAAGGGCACAGGUUCUUAGCAGGCAGUCUGGCUGCACUGGGGGCGAGUUUGCCCUGAACAUCCCUUGACUGGGGCCUUGAACACUUGACUUUUCCUCUCCAAGCUUUAGCUCCUUCAUCUGAGAAAUGAGAACAAUAACACAGAUUAAAUAAGAAAACACUGUGCAGCACAUUGUAGGAGCAAAGACCUCUGGCAGUGCCUAACAUCCAAAAUGUGGGACUCUGGUUUGUCUGCCGAGACCCUGGGCUCCCAGUGCAGUGUGCAGAGAGGAGCAAAGCCAAGGCCCCUGUGGCUCCUCCCACCUCUGUGCCUGUGUUUGGCUUCCAGUUCUGCUCAGCUGGUGGUUUCCUGAGCUGCACAGCAUGGUGGUCACAGGAGGCCACACUAAUCUGAGAGGUGACAAGGACUGGGAGCUGACAGGUGAGGGAGGUGGGGAAAGGAACGGAACAUGCAGAGGCUCAGAGGAUGCACGGGGUUUGGGGCAAUAGUAACCAGGGCAUUAAUAUAUAAGCACAAUCAAAAACCAGUCAUCUUGGGCCUGGGUGUCUUGUUGAAACAGCCCAAUGCAGGCUAGAGGAGUUUUUUUGGGGCGUGGGGUGGGUCAUGCCUGGGUAGGAAGUUUGGGUUUUAUUUUUAUUUUUUUCCUGAGAUGAGAUCUUGUUGUGUAGUUCAGCCUGGCCUAAAACUCAUAGUGAUCCUCCUGUCUCAGCCUCUGAGUGCUGAGAUUAUAGGUAUGCGCCACCACACCAGCUGGGUUUCAUUUUGAACAGAGAAAUGCAGAUGGAUUUACAUGGGAGAAAGGGGCCUCUGGCUGCCAGGUGAGGGGGAGGCCGCAAAGGCAGGGAGGAGGCUGCUGCAGCACUGUAGGGAGAGCAGAGCAGAGGAGAUGGAGGAGAGCAGAGUCGGGGACAGACUUGGUAGAACAGAUGAAUUCAGGACAUUUAUGGUAUAGAACUGACGGAGCUCUACGAGGACAAAGAGUAGUGGUAGUGAACAUCUAGGGUGAGUGGGGUUUUGGUCUUGAGUUCUGGGCUGCUCAGAGGGAGAGAUCCCUUCCUUCUCCUCAUCUAGAAACAUCCUUUACCUCUGAGGGUCACAGGCUGUCUGCCCUGAGCCAGUGCCACACUGUGAACAGCAAAACCCAGGCCCAAUGCAAAGGAUUCCCAGGGGAUGAGGCCCUUGGCGUUGCAGACACAAAUUCCCCCUCUUCAUCCAGUGGGUUUUCCAGUGCACCUCAACUUGAUUGGCCUAACAGAGAUGCCAACCUUCUUUUCUCCUCUUUUCAACCAUAAAGCCUGGUCUGGGGUGCUCUCUCUUCUCCUGCUGGAGUUAGGAGAGGAGCUGAGAACACUGCCGUCUCCGAGCAGGGUCCAAAGCAAGCACAGACAGCCAUCAUGGAGACCUGCUGAGUGGCGGGCUCCCUGCUGGCUCCUUGGCCUUUCAGGUUAAGGGUCCGGGUGAUGGAGCUCAACAGGCUGAACUUUGUGUCUGGCCUUGCCGGGUCCUAGCUAAGGGGGAUCUUGGGCAAGGGACUUCAACCACUCAAUCUCAGUUUGCACAUCUGUGUAAGGGGUCAGGAGAGUCCACCUCAGAUGGUGGCACAAGGAAUCCAUGAGCCUGUUCCAGCAGAGACAGGACUCUGGAUGUGGUGCCUGGUGGAGACAAUGGCCUGUGUCAGAGGCAACUGGCAAUAAGUGACCCAAGGAGGUUGGCUUUGGGGAGGGCAAUGAGAUCCAUAGCCCCAAAGCAGCCAAGGUGGGUUUCCUGACUCAGCUGAGCCCUUUCCAUGAAGGCCAGGAAGAGACAGCUUGUGUCAUCCUGGUGAGAGUCAAGAAUAACCUGAAGCUUCUGCUCCUCUCUGUGCAGGCCUCCAAGUCUAGGGAGAAAGGCAGUGGGACCACUGAGGGGUAUGGGAUUGUACCGCCUGUCCUGGUUUUCCAACUGAUGGUGUGAUUUUUUUCCACCCCAGUCCAUCUGGAAGCUUCCAAAAGCCCAGGUAACUCACCUGGGAUCCAUGCACUUUUUUGUUUGCUUGUUUAUUUAUUUUUGUGGUACUGAGGAUUGAACCCAGAGCCUUUGUACUGAGCUACAUCCCAAGCUUCUUUGUAGUUUGGUUUUAGUAUACGUGCUGCUGAAGUGAGCCCUAUUUUUUAUUUUGAGACAGGGUCCCACUAAGGCUCCAGGUUGUUCAGGCUGGGCUUGAAUUUUUGAUCCUCCUGCCUCAACCUCCCAGAGUGCUAGGAUUAUAGGCAUGCACCACCAUGCCCAGCUCUACAUAUUUUUUAUAGAAAAGCCUUGUAUUCAGCAACUUAGAGAGACCCUGUCUCAAAAAUGAAAAAUAAAAAGAGCUGGAGAAUGGAGCUCCUUGUGAAGGCUCUAGGUUCAAUCCUCAGUACCACAAGAAAGAAGACCCUUAUAUUCAGGGCUGCUGUUGUCAACUACCACAGGCUAGGGAACUUAAGACAACAUUUAUCUUCUUCUGAAUCUGGAAGCCGGAAGUCCAAAGUCAAGGGGUCUGUAUGGCCGUCUCCUCCUGAAGGCUCGAGGGAGAAUCAUCCUUCCCCUCCCUCCUCCAGCUCUAGAUCCUGCCUGCUGUCCUUUUCUUGCCUGUAGCUGCACUGCUCCAUCUCUGCUUUGUCCUUCCCUGGUCACCCCUCUCUGUGAACGUCUUUAUUGUCUGUUCUUAUGAUGAUGAAGGUUAUUCAAUUUGGGGCCCCUCUGACCCCAUAUGACCUCACCUUAAUUUAACUGAUGAAAUCUGCAAAUAUCCUAGUUCCAAUCAUGUCACCAUUCUGAGGCUGUGGAUGGUUGUGAAUUUGGGGGGCCACAGUUCCACCAAGCCAAGCAUCAUUAGAAGGUGCUGGGGGCAAGUGUGUCCUUUCCACUCAGAACUUUGUUUGGAGCUUUGUGGGAAGAACCAGGGCAUGGGGACAACUGCUCCAAGCAUGGGCAGGAAGAAGGGCUCCACUUAUUCAUCCUAAAUGUGUCGCUGACUGAACAACUGAGACUUGGUCUUGCCUAC
ensembl:lncRNA